CUUCAAAAAGGUGUCAGAUAAGCUCAGGGACAAAGGCUGGCAGCAGAGGUGAGCCACAGCAGAGCACACAGAGCAAUGGGGCAAGAGACCCUGGCCUUCCGCUGGGCCAUGGCUGCCACCCUGCUGCUGCAGGUGGCUGCAGUGGAGCAUUCUCCAUGGACUUCCCACGGCAAGGCCAGGGUGUUCUCAGACCUGAGUGCUCAGGAGCUGAAGGCGGUGCACAGCUUCCUCUGGUCCAGGACAGAGCUAAGGCUGGAGUCCUCCAAGGCCUCCACCAUGGCCAAGAACACCGUGUUCCUCAUUGAGAUGCUGCUGCCCAAGAAGCGACAUGUGCUGAGAUUUCUGGAUGAAGGUGAAAGACGUCCUGUUCGGGAAGCCCGUGCAGUCAUCUUCUUCGGCGCCCAGGAGCAUCCCAACAUCACUGAGUUUGCUGUGGGGCCCCUGCCGCACCCCUACUACAUGCGGGUGCUGCCCCCCAGGCCUGGACACCAGCCCUCCUGGGCUUCCAGGCCCAUCUCCUCGGCAGAAUACACCCUCCUCUACCACACCCUGCAGGAAGCCACCAAGCCCCUGCAUCAGUUUUUCCUGGACACCACGGGCUUCUCACUCCAAGACUGCGGCGACAGAUGCCUCACUUUCACUGACGUGGCCCCCCGGGGUUUGGCUUCUGGCCAGCGCCGCAGCUGGUUAAUCAUACAGCGCUAUGUGGAAGGCUAUUUCUUGCACCCCAUGGGGCUGGAGCUCUUAGUGGACCACGCAAGCACCGAUGCCCGGAGCUGGGCGGUGGAGCAGGUGUGGUACAACGGGAAAUUCUACGCCAGCACCGAAGAGCUGGCUCGGAAGUACGCCGCGGGGGAGGUGGACGUGGUGGUCCUAGAAGACCUGUUGCCCCGAGGCAAGGGGCAGGAGAGCGGGGAGGAGCCGCCCCUCUUCUCCUCCCACAGGCCGCGAGGGGACUUCCCCAGUCCCAUGGAUGUGAGAGGUCCUCGCCUAGUCCAGCCCCACGGCCCCCGCUACAGGCUGCAGGGCCCUGCCGUGCUCUACGGGGGCUGGAGCUUCGCCUUCCGCCUGCGCUCAUCGUCCGGGCUGCAGGUCCUGAACGUGCACUUCGGCGGAGAGCGAGUCGCCUACGAGGUCAGUGUGCAGGAGGCGGUGGCGCUGUACGGCGGGCACACGCCUGCGGGCAUGCAGACCAAGUAUGUGGACGUGGGCUGGGGCCUGGGCAGCGUCACUCACGAGUUAGCCCCAGGCAUUGACUGCCCAGAGACCGCCACCUUCCUGGACGCCGUCCACUACUACGACACUGAUGACCCUGUGCACUAUCCCCGAGCCCUCUGCCUCUUUGAGAUGCCCACGGGGGUGCCCCUGCGGCGGCACUUUAAUUCCAACUUUAGAGGCGGCUUCAACUUCUAUGCUGGACUGAAGGGCCAGGUGCUGGUGCUACGGACGACCUCCACGGUCUACAAUUAUGAUUACAUUUGGGACAUCAUCUUCUAUCCCAAUGGAGUGAUGGAGGCCAAGAUGCACGCCACCGGCUAUGUCCAUGCCACCUUCUACACCCCUGAGGGGCUGCGCUACGGCACGCGCCUGCACACCCACCUGGUCGGGAACAUGCACACGCACCUCGUGCACUACCGCGUAGACCUGGACGUGGCAGGCACCAAGAACAGCUUCCAGACACUACAGAUGAAGCUAGAAAACAUCACCAACCCCUGGAGCCCAACACACCGCCUGGUCCAGCCGACUCUGCAACAGAUACAGUACCACCGGGAGCGCCAGGCGGCAUUCCGGUUCGGACGGACUCUGCCCAGGUACCUGCUCUUCACCAGCCCCAAGGAGAACCCUUGGGGCCACCAGCGCAGCUAUCGCCUGCAGAUCCACUCCAUGGCUGACCAAGUGCUGCCCCCAGGCUGGCAGGAGGAGCAGACUGUCACCUGGGCCAGGUGAGAGGACCCAGGGGGGCCAGCUCAGUGCUAAGAGCCACCAGGCUUCUCCUUUACCUGGCAGGUACCCCCUGGCCGUGACCAGGUACCGGGAGUCGGAGCGGUGCAGCAGCAGCAUCUACAACCAGAACGACCCCUGGGCCCCGCCUGUGGUCUUUGAGGAAUUUCUACACAAUAACGAGAACAUUGAAAACGAGGACCUGGUGGCUUGGGUGACUGUGGGCUUCCUGCACAUCCCCCAUUCUGAGGAUAUUCCCAACACAUCCACACCUGGAAACUCUGUGGGCUUUCUGCUCCGGCCCUUCAACUUCUUCCCAGAGGACCCGUCCCUGGCAUCCAGAGAUACUGUGAUCGUGUGGCCUCGGGACAAUGGCCCCAACUAUAUCCAGCGCUGGAUCCCUGAGGACAGAGACUGCUUGAUGCCUCCCCCUUUUACCUACAAUGGGACCUACAUGCCUGUGUGAAGGGGUCUGCCCCCAACUCCUACCUGGAAGCCAGAGAGUGUCCCAGGAAUGGACAAUAAACCUCUCAGAUCC